GAUCAUGGCUCAGAUUGAACGCUGGCGGCGGGCCUAACACAUGCAAGUCGAACGGUAACAGGAAGCAGCUUGCUGCUUUGCUGACGAGUGGCGGACGGGUGAGUAAUGUCUGGGAAACUGCCUGAUGGAGGGGGAUAACUACUGGAAACGGUAGCUAAUACCGCAUAACGUCGCAAGACCAAAGAGGGGGACCUUCGGGCCUCUUGCCAUCGGAUGUGCCCAGAUGGGAUUAGCUAGUAGG
rnacentral:rRNA from 1 species